GAGCGGGGAAGGGUAGCUUGCUACCUGACCUAGCGGCGGACGGGUGAGUAAUGCUUAGGAAUCUGCCUAUUAGUGGGGGACAACAUUCCGAAAGGAAUGCUAAUACCGCAUACGCCCUACGGGGGAAAGCAGGGGAUCUUCGGACCUUGCGCUAAUAGAUGAGCCUAAGUCAGAUUAGCUAGUUGGUGGGGUAAAGGCCUACCAAGGCGACGAUCUGUAGCGGGUCUGAGAGGAUGAUCCGCCACACUGGGACUGAGACACGGCCCAGACUCCUACGGGAGGCAGCAGUGGGGAAUAUUGGACAAUGGGCGAAAGCCUGAUCCAGCCAUGCCGCGUGUGUGAAGAAGGCCUUUUGGUUGUAAAGCACUUUAAGCGAGGAGGAGGCUACUGGGAUUAAUACUCUUGGAUAGUGGACGUUACUCGCAGAAUAAGCACCGGCUAACUCUGUGCCAGCAGCCGCGGUAAUACAGAGGGUGCGAGCGUUAAUCGGAUUUACUGGGCGUAAAGCGUGCGUAGGCGGCUUUUUAAGUCGGAUGUGAAAUCCCUGAGCUUAACUUAGGAAUUGCAUUCGAUACUGGGAAGCUAGAGUAUGGGAGAGGAUGGUAGAAUUCCAGGUGUAGCGGUGAAAUGCGUAGAGAUCUGGAGGAAUACCGAUGGCGAAGGCAGCCAUCUGGCCUAAUACUGACGCUGAGGUACGAAAGCAUGGGGAGCAAACAGGAUUAGAUACCCUGGUAGUCCAUGCCGUAACGAUGUCUACUAGCCGUUGGGGCCUUUGAGGCUUUAGUGGCGCAGCUAACGCGAUAAGUAGACCGCCUGGGGAGUACGGUCGCAAGACUAAAACUCAAAUGAAUUGACGGGGGCCCGCACAAGCGGUGGAGCAUGUGGUUUAAUUCGAUGCAACGCGAAGAACCUUACCUGGUCUUGACAUAGUAAGAACUUUCCAGAGAUGGAUUGGUGCCUUUGGGAAACUUACAAUACAGGUGCUUCGUGGCGUUUUUUACUCGUGUCGUGAGAUGUUGGGUUAAGUCCCGCAACGAGCGCAACCCUUUUCCUUAUUUGCCAGCGGGUUAAGCCGGGAACUUUAAGGAUACUGCCAGUGACAAACUGGAGGAAGGCGGGGACGACGUCAAGUCAUCAUGGCCCUUACGACCAGGGCUACACACGUGCUACAAUGGUCGGUACAAAGGGUUGCUACCUAGCGAUAGGAUGCUAAUCUCAAAAAGCCGAUCGUAGUCCGGAUUGGAGUCUGCAACUCGACUCCAUGAAGUCGGAAUCGCUAGUAAUCGCGGAUCAGAAUGCCGCGGUGAAUACGUUCCCGGGCCUUGUACACACCGCCCGUCACACCAUGGGAAUUUGUUGCACCAGAAGUAGGUAGUCUAA
rnacentral:rRNA from 1 species